UACAGAGGGUGCGAGCGUUAAUCGGAAUUACUGGGCGUAAAGCGUGCGUAGACGGUUAUUUAAGUCGGAUGUGAAAGCCCCGGGCUCAACCUGGGAAUUGCAUUCGAGACUGAAUAGCUAGGGUGCGGUAGAGGGAAGCGGAAUUUCCGGUGUAGCGGUGAAAUGCGUAGAUAUCAGAAGGAACAUCAGUGGCGAAAGCGGCUUCCUGGUCCAGUACCGACGUUCAGGCACGAAAGCGUGGGGAGCAAACAGG
rnacentral:rRNA from 1 species